GGUGCCACCAUCAGGUGGCCGCAGAGAAUAGGCCCAAGCGACUGUUUACCAAAAACAUAGGUUUCUGCUAAGUCGCAAGACGAUGUAUAGGAGCUGACGCCUGCCCGGUGCUGGAAGGUUAAGGGGAGCUGUUAGAGCAAUCGAAGCAGUGAACUUAAGCCCCAGUAAACGGCGGCCGUAACUAUAACGGUCCUAAGGUAGCGAAAUUCCUUGUCGGGUAAGUUCCGACCCGCACGAAAGGCGUAACGAUUUGGGCACUGUCUCA
rnacentral:rRNA from 1 species